rnacentral:lncRNA from 1 species
UUCCUCCCUUUAAUUUGAAACGGGAACGCGAAUGACUGUAAAAUAGGAAGACAAACAUAAAGAUGAAGUGCUUAAUUCAAGGUCACACAAUGUCGGGGAUGGACCUCCAGAUUUCCUUACUGACCUGCAUUAUCUUGUGGAUACCUGAGUGAAUUCCACACCACCCAUUUUAUAGAUGAAACCACUGAGACAUGGAGCAAUUGACUGAGUAGUCACUGCCCCACCCCUGCCUGGAGCCUCACACAUGACUCGCCUCCUCUCAGUGACCACAGGUUGGUUGAGGGGUUUAACAAGGCUAAGAAGGUGAGACGUGGUCUUGUAACACAGUGGUUAAGAAUGUGACUUUGGAGCCAGCCUGCUAGGGGCUGAAUUCUGACUCAGCCAUUUACUAACUGUGUGACCUUAGGUGGAGUCUCACUCUGUAGCCCAAGCUGGAGUGGCGUGAUCUCGACUCACUGCAACCUCCGCCUCCUGGGAUCAAGUGAUUCUCGUGCCUCAGCCUCCUGAGUAGCCGGGACUACAGUUGUCCCUUGGUGUGGGAUUGCUUCCAGUACCUCUGUGUGU